rnacentral:pre_miRNA from 1 species
GAGGGAAGUGACGUCAACGACACAGCAAACGCAGAUUGGGUGUUGAUUUUGUUUUCUUCUGUCAACAUCCAAUCUGCAUUUGCUGUGUCGUUGACGUCACUUCCCUCU